UACGGGAGGGGCAAGCGUUAUCCAACAUGACUGGGCGUAAAGGGUCCGUAGACUGUAAAAUAAGUUACUUGUUAAAUUUUUAAAAGCCCAACUUUAAAAUAGCAUAUAAUACUGUUUUACUUGAGUUUUAUACAGAAGAGUAGAAUUUUAUGCGAAGGGGUGAAAUCCGUAGAUAGUAUAAAAGGAAUACCAGUAGCGAAGGCGACUCUUUAGUAAAAACUGACGUUGAGGGACGAAAGUGUAAGGGAGCAA
rnacentral:rRNA from 1 species